rnacentral:rRNA from 1 species
UACGGGGGGAGCAAGCGUUGUUCGGAUUUACUGGGCGUAAAGAGCUCGUAGGCGGCCACUCAAGUCGAAUGUGAAACCUCGAGGCUUAACCUCGAGCCUGCAUUCGAUACUGGGCGGCUAGAGUCUGGUAGGGGGAUCUGGAAUUCCUGGUGUAGCGGUGGAAUGCGCAGAUAUCAGGAGGAACACCGGUGGCGAAGGCGGGAUCCUGGGCCGAUACUGACGCUGAUGCGCGAAAGCGUGGGGAGCAAACGGG